rnacentral:misc_RNA from 1 species
AACGCACGAGACCUGCGGACCUGCGGAGGGAUCAUUAACGUGCUACGGAGGUCUCUUCGAAGGGGGGGAUCUACGUCUGCCCACCCUUGAUUUCCUGACCUGUUGCUUUGGCGGGUCCGCUAUGAGGAGGUCUGAAAAAAACUUGAGUUUUCGGGCUUAUAUUUCGCCAGAGUUUCUCUAAAUCCUGGAUAAAAAGGUUAUGCUGUCUGAGCGUGCAAGCGCAAAUUUAUAUAAAACUUU